rnacentral:tRNA from 1 species
GUCUUCGUGGUGUAGUGGUCAGCACGCUCGACGCGUAACUGAGAGGUCCGUGGUUCGAUUUCCGCCGAAGGCG